CACUGGUCUGAGUGCAGUGGUGUUUACAACUAAUUGAUCACAACCAGUUACAGAUUUCUUUGUUCCUUCUCCACUCCCACUGCUUCACUUGACUAGCCUAAA
rnacentral:Y_RNA from 1 species